AACGAACGCUGGCGGCAUGCCUACACAUGCAAGUCGAACGAGACCUUCGGGUCUAGUGGCGCACGGGUGCGUAACGCGUGGGAACCUGCCCUGAGGUUCGGAAUAACAGUUAGAAAUGACUGCUAAUACCGGAUAAUGUCUUCGGACCAAAGAUUUAUUGCCUUGGGAUGGGCCCGCGUAGGAUUAGCUAGUUGGUGGGG
rnacentral:rRNA from 1 species